rnacentral:rRNA from 1 species
UACGUAGGUCCCGAGCGUUGUCCGGAUUUAUUGGGCGUAAAGCGAGCGCAGGUGGUUUAAUAAGUCUGAUGUAAAAGGCAGUGGCUCAACCAUUGUGUGCAUUGGAAACUGUUAGACUUGAGUGCAGUAGAGGAGAGUGGAAUUCCAUGUGUAGCGGUGAAAUGCGUAGAUAUAUGGAGGAACACCGGUGGCGAAGGCGCCCCUCUGGACGGUAACUGACGCUGAGGCGCGAAAGCGUGGGGAGCAAACAGG